rnacentral:siRNA from 1 species
CGAAUAGAGUUAGUCUGUGACGGU